GAUGAACGCUGGCGGCGUGCCUAAUACAUGCAAGUCGAGCGAACAGACGAGGAGCUUGCUCCUCUGACGUUAGCGGCGGACGGGUGAGUAACACGUGGAUAACCUACCUAUAAGACUGGGAUAACUUCGGGAAACCGGAGCUAAUACCGGAUAAUAUAUUGAACCGCAUGGUUCAAUAGUGAAAGACGGUUUUGCUGUCACUUAUAGAUGGAUCCGCGCCGCAUUAGCUAGUUGGUAAGGUAACGGCUUACCAAGGCAACGAUGCGUAGCCGACCUGAGAGGGUGAUCGGCCACACUGGAACUGAGACACGGUCCAGACUCCUACGGGAGGCAGCAGUAGGGAAUCUUCCGCAAUGGGCGAAAGCUUGACGGAGCAACGCCGCGUGAGUGAUGAAGGUCUUCGGAUCGUAAAACUCUGUUAUUAGGGAAGAACAAAUGUGUAAGUAACCAUGCACGUCUUGACGGUACCUAAUCAGAAAGCCACGGCUAACUACGUG
rnacentral:rRNA from 1 species